UACGAAGGGGGGCUAGCGUUGCUCGGAAUCACUGGGCGUAAAGGGUGCGUAGGCGGGUCUUUAAGUCAGGGGUGAAAUCCUGGAGCUCAACUCCAGAACUGCCUUUGAUACUGAGGAUCUUGAGUUCGGGGAGAGGUGAGUGGAACUGCGAGUGUAGAGGUGAAAUUCGUAGAUAUUCGCAAGAACACCAGUGGCGAAGGCGGCUCACUGGCCCGGUACUGACGCUGAGGCACGAAAGCGUGGGGAGCAACAGG
rnacentral:rRNA from 1 species